GGUAAAAGAUAUAAUUAAGAAGAAAGGCAACACCGCCACAGUGAUAAAGCAAAGAGAAAAAGCGUGGCAAAGUAUUGCAGACCGCCUGAAUGCAUUAAACAUGAACGGGCCAAAACGGACAUGGCAGCAGGUCAAAAUCAAAUACAAGAACAUUCUGCAGAAUGGUAUGGUCCCUGACUAAUAUUUAACAAAGCACAAGCAUAUAUUGUACCCAGAAGGUGCCUGCUCACACAUUGUCUGUACUGUUUUAGCAGUGAAAAAGAAUACCCACAGACAAGGCACGGGUGGUGGGUCACCAAAGGCUGACCUUACCCCAGCAGAGGACAUGGCCUUGGAGCUAAAUAAAGGCAGGCCCGUCUUAGAGGGGAUCCCUGGGGGAAAGAGACGAGCAUAGGUUCCUCCCAAGAUGCCACCCGCUUCAUUCAAGUGUCUGGCAGCACUGUGUUCCUGUUAGAGCCACCAGCACAAGCACCAGACGAUGCUGAUCCAGUGAGUACUCCAUCAAAGGCAUACUGUAGGCCUGGCAUGUCUUGUCUACUAGCUUCAAUAUGAAUCCGAUUAAAUGUGAUAGGGUGAAGGCCCCAGUGCAGCAGCAACAGCACAUGAUGGAGACGAUGAUGAUGAUGAGGAGGAGACCAUCUCUCUGGAUUCCAGAAGGCAUGAGGUA